rnacentral:rRNA from 2 species
UCUUGGUCAUUUAGAGGAAGUAAAAGUCGUAACAAGGUCUCCGUUGGUGAACCAGCGGAGGGAUCAUUAUCGAGUUAUUCAACUCCCAAACCCUAUGUGAACUUACCACUUGUUGCUUCGGCGCGCGCUUCGGCGCCGCCGAGGACACUUAAACUCUUUGUUUUUAUAAGCAUUUCUGAGUGGCCGAAAGGCAAAAAUACAAAUGAAUCAAAACUUUCAACAACGGAUCUCUUGGUUCUGGCAUCGAUGAAGAACGCAGCGAAAUGCGAUAAGUAAUGUGAAUUGCAGAAUUCAGUGAAUCAUCGAAUCUUUGAACGCACAUUGCGCCCGCCAGCAUUCUGGCGGGCAUGCCUGUUCGAGCGUCAUUUCAACCCUCGAGCCCGACUCUUUUGAGGACGGCUCGGCGUUGGGGGACGGCAGACUCCCCCCGGCAUCUCGCCGGGGACGCCGCCCCCGAAAUCUAGUGGCGGCCCUCCGAGGCGACCUCUGCGUAGUAACUUGUUCUCGCACCGGAAAGCUCAGAGCGGCCACGCCGUAAAACCCCAACUUUUUUCAGGUUGACCUCGAAUCAGGUAGG